rnacentral:rRNA from 1 species
GUGGGGAAUAUUGGACAAUGGGGGGAACCCUGAUCCAGCCAUGCCGCGUGUGUGAAGAAGGCCUUUUGGUUGUAAAGCACUUUAAGCGAGGAGGAGGCUACCGAGAUUAAUACUCUUGGAUAGUGGACGUUACUCGCAGAAUAAGCACCGGCUAACUCUGUGCCAGCAGCCGCGGUAAUACAGAGGGUGCAAGCGUUAAUCGGAUUUACUGGGCGUAAAGCGCGCGUAGGUGGCCAAUUAAGUCAAAUGUGAAAUCCCCGAGCUUAACUUGGGAAUUGCAUUCGAUACUGGUUGGCUAGAGUAUGGGAGAGGAUGGUAGAAUUCCAGGUGUAGCGGUGAAAUGCGUAGAGAUCUGGAGGAAUACCGAUGGCGAAGGCAGCCAUCUGGCCUAAUACUGACACUGAGGUACGAAAGCAUGGGGAGCAAACAGGAUUAGAAACCCGGGUAGUCC